rnacentral:rRNA from 1 species
UACAGAGGUGGCAAGCGUUGUUCGGAAUUACUGGGCGUAAAGGGCGCGUAGGCGGUCUUGUAAGUCUUGUGUGAAAUCCCUCGGCUUAACUGAGGAACUGCACGGGAUACUGCGAGACUUGAGUUCGGGAGAGGGAAGCGGAAUUCCGGGUGUAGCGGUGAAAUGCGUAGAUAUCGUGAGGAAGACCAGUGGCGAAGGCGGAUCUCUGGACAGUUCCUGACGCUGAGGCGCGAAGGCCAGGGGAGCAAACGGG